rnacentral:lncRNA from 1 species
GGGGCCCGGCGCCGGCGCGUGCGUCACGGGAGGCAAAGUUCCAAGAAACUUGGCUGAGGGCUCGGAGUCCCGCGGGGGCGGGGCGGGAAUGCCGCGGGGCGGGGGCCGGCGACACGGGGGUCCCGGGGGAGUAGGGAUCGGGGCUUCCGGGAGCAGGAGAUCCCAGGGAUAUAGGGUCCCAAAGGUUACGUGUCCAGGCACCUGUCAGAUUUGGGCUACAGAAGAGCGAGGAGAUGGCCAUGGCUUGGGGUGAGCCCAGCACUGCCCAUAGCCCUGCAGCCGGGGCUCCCCUUGGGCACCUGGAGUCCAUUGGCCCUAAAAUGCAUGUGUACAGGGCCCUUGGCUGCCUGCAGCAGCAAGAGAAGCUGCCUGGGGCUACCUGGUUAGAAGGAGUGCACAUCUUCUUCCUGUGUGGUGGAAAACUGAACUCCUGAAAAACGUGCUGGCCUUGUGCACCUUGUGACCUACACCAGGAGCAUCUACAUGAGUAUAUAUCAACCUGCCCCAUUUUAGGGAUGCAGUGGGGCUUGGCCAGCAGUUGGAAGAGGCUCAUAAAGCAGCUGGGGUGCUUUGUUCCCCUCUUACAUGCACAUACAGACCCCCUGGGCUCUUAGCUGGCUGCUAGCACAGCCCUCAGUAUAGCACAGACUGUGUUUU